rnacentral:rRNA from 1 species
CUGAUGUUAGCGGCGGACGGGUGAGUAACACGUGGGUAACCUGCCUGUAAGACUGGGAUAACUCCGGGAAACCGGGGCUAAUACCGGAUGGUUGUUUGAACCGCAUGGUUCAGACAUAAAAGGUGGCUUCGGCUACCACUUACAGAUGGACCCGCGGCGCAUUAGCUAGUUGGUGAGGUAACGGCUCACCAAGGCGACGAUGCGUAGCCGACCUGAGAGGGUGAUCGGCCACACUGGGACUGAGACACGGCCCAGACUCCUACGGGAGGCAGCAGUAGGGAAUCUUCCGCAAUGGACGAAAGUCUGACGGAGCAACGCCGCGUGAGUGAUGAAGGUUUUCGGAUCGUAAAGCUCUGUUGUUAGGGAAGAACAAGUGCCGUUCAAAUAGGGCGGCACCUUGACGGUACCUAACCAGAAAGCCACGGCUAACUACGUGCCAGCAGCCGCGGUAAUACGUAGGUGGCAAGCGUUGUCCGGAAUUAUUGGGCGUAAAGGGCUCGCAGGCGGUUUCUUAAGUCUGAUGUGAAAGCCCCCGGCUCAACCGGGGAGGGUCAUUGGAAACUGGGGAACUUGAGUGCAGAAGAGGAGAGUGGAAUUCCACGUGUAGCGGUGAAAUGCGUAGAGAUGUGGAGGAACACCAGUGGCGAAGGCGACUCUCUGGUCUGUAACUGACGCUGAGGAGCGAAAGCGUGGGGAGCGAACAGGAUUAGAUACCCUGGUAGUCCACGCCGUAAACGAUGAGUGCUAAGUGUUAGGGGGUUUCCGCCCCUUAGUGCUGCAGCUAACGCAUUAAGCACUCCGCCUGGGGAGUACGGUCGCAAGACUGAAACUCAAAGGAAUUGACGGGGGCCCGCACAAGCGGUGGAGCAUGUGGUUUAAUUCGAAGCAACGCGAAGAACCUUACCAGGUCUUGACAUCCUCUGACAAUCCUAGAGAUAGGACGUCCCCUUCGGGGGCAGAGUGACAGGUGGUGCAUGGUUGUCGUCAGCUCGUGUCGUGAGAUGUUGGGUUAAGUCCCGCAACGAGCGCAACCCUUGAUCUUAGUUGCCAGCAUUCAGUUGGGCACUCUAAGGUGACUGCCGGUGACAAACCGGAGGAAGGUGGGGAUGACGUCAAAUCAUCAUGCCCCUUAUGACCUGGGCUACACACGUGCUACAAUGGACAGAACAAAGGGCAGCGAAACCGCGAGGUUAAGCCAAUCCCACAAAUCUGUUCUCAGUUCGGAUCGCAGUCUGCAACUCGACUGCGUGAAGCUGGAAUCGCUAG